rnacentral:lncRNA from 1 species
CAAAGGACUAACAUGACACAGACAUUAACAACUAUAGGUAACCGUACGGCCUUCAACAAUGAGCAAAGCCCAUACCGCAUAGUCAGCUAUAAUAGGCCUCGAUAAGACAAUGUAAAACAAUUCAAACAAGAAAACUAACGGUCUUAUUUAUGUAAACAAAAUGAACGAAAAACAAAUAUGUACCACAUAAACAAACGACAACAACUAAAUUACAGGCUCCUGA